CUUCCCCCUGCAAAGUAAGGGAAACGAAAUAGUGUGACAAAUAGAAACAUAGUUGCCAUACCUAAUAAUUAAAAAAAAUACAGAGAAUACUAUUAAAUUGAAAUAUAAAAAUGUUUCCCAACUUUUUAAAAGCCUUAGCAUGGACAAUACUCUAGUAUUUCUUAAUUAAAAACACAUAAGUAAUGUAAUAAAAUUUCCUGGCAACGACGCCAAACGUCUGUGGUUCUUUCUCCAGCUUUUCUGUUUGCAGAGUUGGUAGCUAUUUUAGGACGCGUCGUUUUUCUCUCCCUGGUUUAGUUAUUACUUGAAGUCAACGUAUACUGCGUAUGAAAAUGGAAAUUGGAGUUUAAAAUUUCAUAGUCAAAAAACGUUUUUCCUAGUAGUAAAGUGGAAAUCCUUUCGAUUGACCGUUUUCUUCUUGUAACCAAGAGACAGGCGAUACUAGCAAAGAAACCAUGCUCAACGCAGUGAAACAGAUGAAAAUUGGAUAUAUUAGCCUAAAUAAAGUUAGUCUACAGUCAGGAAUUCCACGCAAUACUUUGGCUCGAUAUCUUCACGAGUUCUCUGCUGAUGAAAUUCAUGGAGUUCUUCCAAUAACUAUAUAUGUUGGAUAUAAGACCACUAUUAGGUAUUACAGUUUGCUUUUUAUUAUUUUUACGAGCUUACAAAACCUAUCUGGAACACUAUCUGAAGAAAGUGUGUGAUAUCUACUUUGGUUUGACACCGACUGAAUUCAGGAAGAUGGCCUAUGAUUUAACUGUCUACUUGGACAUCAUUAUCCGAAGUGCAGGGCAGGAAAAAAAAUCUGCUCGCAGAGACGGUGUUCUCUGAUCUCGUACGAAUUUUAUCUCAUGCCAUCUAUCUCGUACCGGUACGAGAUCAUCGGUACGAGAUUGGAGCCUCCAAGCAGUCUGUACGAUAUUAUCGGCUCUUGACAGAAGAAAUCUUCUAUGUCGUAGAAGAGCCACUAAUCUAAACCAACCACUCGGCAUUGCUCCAAGACGCACAAUGAAAUUUGAGGGAAACUGCCCAGCUUUAUAUACGGUCGCGGGGGGUGAGCGC